AGAAUCAACGCUGGCGGCGUGCCUCAGACAUGCAAGUCGAACGAUUAAAGCUCUCUUCGGAGAGUGUAUAGAGUGGCGCACGGGUGAGUAACACGUAAGUAAUCUACCUUUGAGUGGGGAAUAACCCGGGGAAACCCGAGCUAAUACCGCAUAAUGCAGCGGCACCGCAAGGUGACAGUUGUUAAAGGAGCAAUCCGACUUAAAGAGGAGCUUGCGGCAGAUUAGCUAGUUGGUAAGGUAAUGGCUUACCAAGGCUACGAUCUGUAUCCGGUCUAAGAGGACGGUCGGACACACUGACACUGAAUAACGGGUCUAGACUCCUA
rnacentral:rRNA from 1 species